GUGGGGAAUAUUGGACAAUGGGCGAAAGCCUGAUCCAGCAAUGCCGCGUGAGUGAUGAAGGCCUUAGGGUUGUAAAGCUCUUUUACCAGGGAUGAUAAUGACAGUACCUGGAGAAUAAGCUCCGGCUAACUCCGUGCCAGCAGCCGCGGUAAUACGGAGGGAGCUAGCGUUGUUCGGAAUUACUGGGCGUAAAGCGCGCGUAGGCGGCUCAGCAAGUCAGGGGUGAAAUCCCGGGGCUCAACCCCGGAACUGCCUUUGAAACUGCUAGGCUAGAAUCCUGGAGAGGCGAGUGGAAUUCCGAGUGGAGAGGUGAAAUUCGUAGAUAUUCGGAAGAACACCAGUGGCGAAGGCGACUCGCUGGACAGGUAUUGACGCUGAGGUGCGAAAGCGUGGGGAGCAAACAGGAUUAGAAACCCGAGUAGUCC
rnacentral:rRNA from 1 species